UACGUAGGUGGCGAGCGUUGUCCGGAUUUAUUGGGCGUAAAGCGCGCGCAGGUGGUGCGGUAAGUCUGUCGUGAAAUCUCCCGGCUCAACUGGGAGGGUGCGGUGGAGACUGCCGGACUGGAGGCACUCAGAGGCCGGUGGAAUUCCCGGUGUAGUGGUGAAAUUCGUAGAUAUUGGGAAGAACACCGGUGGCGAAGGCGGCUCACUGGCUCAUUACUGACGCUCGAGGCGCGACAGCGUGGGGAUCAAACAGG
rnacentral:rRNA from 1 species